UUGACAGAUGGCGCUACAUUUGACGUCAACAAACCGGAUCGAUUUUCUGCAAAGUUCCAAUAAAUUGUCUAAAGAUUUGACAGGAGCGAACACAGCGUCACAGAAAAGCAUAGAGAUUAUUUCAUUCGCUUUUUGGAGUUGAAAGCAGAACAGUUAUAUUCAGAUUAUUUCAUAUUAUGUGUGAUGUAAAAGCUGAGUAUGGCAGGUAGUGAAACAUCUGGUUUGCCUAGUAACAGACUGAAACCAAAUUGUACUGUCAUUAUAGACACAUCGCCAGGAUAAUAUUGUAACACCUUCAGUUUAGGGACAGAAGUUAUUAAAAGAUUUCAAAAUGUCCGAGUACUACAAAAAGUAUUUUUGUCCUCGAUUGUUAGACUACAUCGUGAUUGUCGGUAGCCGGCAUCACAAUAAUAACAAUAACGUUGCUCAGACACCAGAAUUGUUGAGGCGUUACCCACUUGAAGAUCAUGCAGAUUUUCCGCUUCCUACAGAUGUGAUAUUCUUUUGCCAGCCUGAAGGUUGUAUAAGUGUAGGUCCAAAACGUAUGAGUCUUCGAGAAACAACGUCUUUUGUAUUUACACUGACAGAAAAAGAUUCUGGUAAAGUAAGGUAUGGAAUGUGUGUUAACUUUUUUCGCCCGUUUGAAAAACACCGCGGGGAGAGGAGACAACACAGUAGUAGUUCCGAUCGUCAAUACAGUACUGGAAGUUACACGGAAGGAAAUAGGACACUUUCAAAUUUACAACACAAUGACUCUGAAUCUAGGUCACCACGAACUAGUAGGAGAGCGAAAACUGCUUCGCGUGUAAGAAAUAACACAUUAACGUCACUAUGCAUUAUAAGUCAUCAUCCAUUUUUCUCAACAUUUCGGGAGUGUUUGUUCAUACUUCGUCGCCUCAUUGAUGCGUGUCAUGAAAGAAGUUGUGCAAGAAGAGUGGGCGGAUCAAGAAGCAUGUCACGGGAUACUGUGUGGGGUGUUUUGACGGGCCAGGGCAGCGAUAACGUUUCAAGCCUCGUGGUUCAUGAGAUCAGAGAGAUUGAAACAUGGGUGCUACGACUGCUGAGUGCCCCUGUGCCUGUGCCAGGGAAAACCAAAGUCGAGAUUCAGGUGUUACCAAGAGAUGUACAGCCUCCUUUGUUGUUUGCACUGCCAGAUCACACUAGGUUUUCUUUGGUAGAUUUCCCAUUACAUCUGCCGUUAGAACUUCUUGGGGUAGAAACUUGUCUCAAAGUUCUCACUGCUAUUAUGCUGGAGUUCAAAAUAAUUAUGCAAUCUCGAGAUUACAACGCACUGACAAUGAGUGUUAUGGCAUUUGUGUCGAUGUUGUAUCCGUUAGAAUAUAUGUUCCCUGUGAUACCAUUGCUGCCAACGUGUAUGUCAUCAGCUGAACAGCUAUUGUUAGCCCCCACCCCCUAUUUGAUAGGAGUUCCUGCCAGUUUUUUCUUGUACAAAAAAGAUUUCUUGUUACCAGAGGAUAUAUGGCUCGUUGAUCUCGACUCAAACAAGAUUACAUGUCCUUCACAGCAUGGCCACAAUGAAUUACCUCCCAUGGCAGAACCAGAGGGGACAAUUCUGAAAAAUCAUCUCAAACAGGCCCUUACAAGCAUGAGUAUGACACCACAACCAAUUAAGAAUUUAGACGCUCUUGCUCAAAAUCCAGAGAUGUGGAAACGAAGAGAAAGUUUCUCAUCAACGACAGGGUUCAAUCCUCUCAUCUACGGCAACGAUGUGGACUCUGUAGAUGUUGCCACAAGAGUUGCCAUGGUGAGGUUUUUCAACUCGGCAAACACUUUGGGAAACUUCUCCGAGCAUACAAGGACACUGAGACUAUAUCCCAGACCUGUUGUAGCCUUCCAGUUGUACAGCUUCCUGAAAUCAAGACCGGUGAAGACACAUUUUACCCACAGAUUGGCUAAAACUCAGGCUGUUGAAUAUUUUGGUGAGUGGUCACUGUGCCCACAGAAUGUUGCCUUCCUGCGAGUGCAGACCUCUGUGUUUGAUCCUCUGUUGAUAGGAGACAAGGCCAAAUGGUACGCCAAUCAGCUGCAGCCUAUAGUAUUCCGUGUUUACGAUGACGCGUCCUCUAUGGGUGCUGCCCUGAGUUCAGCUUCCGAGGUUGUCAGUGAUGACUACCCCACUGAUGAAAGUGGCAGUGACAGUGAUGGAGCAGAGUCUACAUCGUCUUCUUACUCUUCUCUUAGUGACUUUGUUACCGACAUGGUGAAUAGUGAGAUUGAUGGAGAUACUCCUUCAUUUCUCCCGGAGAAUCAAGUUUUAGCAGUAGACGAGUCCAAAGUGUACAACCCACCAGACAGAUUGCAGUUACCUGAUUCAUCGUUACCGAUGAGUGACUCAGCCCACUCUCACAAUGACAGUGAAGAUGAUGAUGCUGGUGACUCGUCCGAUAGCUCGUACUCAAGUAGUCCUAGAUAUGCUCCGGAACCCGAUUCUGUUGCCGUCACCAAUCCAAAUAUGCAAGAGAUGGAACCAUCCAAAGAAUUUCGAUAUGAUUCCGGAAAUAUCACGCCCACAGGGAGACACAGGAUUAUAAGCCGUCAGGACAGCAGUGGUUCAGGAAGUCCCCCGCCCCCAGGGAGGACAAGACCUCCACUACAACCUCUAAACAAGAGCAUUAACUCUGCUUUCGAAUCAUAUGAGAAACCACCCAGUCCUAGGGAUAGAGUGCCACCCAGUUCUAGAGAAAAACUACCUGCUGGUUCGGCCCAGAGGGUGCCAACAAGUCCUAGACUUCCACCAAGCCCCAGAGACAGAGCCCCGCCCAGUCCCAGAGACUUAAAUCCACCAAGUCCCAGGAUGCCACGGGUGCCUCCUCCAAGUCCCAGCAUGGGUCGAGAGAGAUUUGGAUCCCAGGGCAGUACAGGAAGUCAAGACAGUGGCAAGGGUGGACCAACAGUACCACGAACCUUAGGCAUGCUUCACCCAAACAAAAAUGGAACAAAGUCUUCAUCGUUAGAUGGCACAGAUAAUAAGCAACCUGGGGUACCAGACCGGGGAGCGAGCCCAUCUUCACUGAUCUCUACCCUCAGUAGUGACUUGACAGACUUUGCACACAAUGCAAGCAGUACCUUGUCUGAGUUGUUUGGAUUGUCUGAUAAGAAAGGUUCAAAAGCAGGUCCAACCCCUCCUAUUCCAAUAACUGCUGGCCCCCAGCAUCAGAAGCCGGCCCCCAAACCAUUCGCUCCCCUCGGCAACAGGAAGGCUUUGGUAGAGAAGUCGGGUCUAGUGAAGCACGCAACCAACAGGAAACCAACAAGUAAAGAGAAACAGAAAGCAAAUGAAACCAAAGGCACUUCCAACAGUGAGAAUCAGCAGUUCCUGAAGGAAGUAGUCAGUAGUGUACUGGAAGGUCAAGGUAUCAGCUGGUUAAAGAUGGGAAGGGUGAAGAAACUGCUUGAAGAUGAGAAUUACCGUAACUUUAUGAUCAGUAGACUCAACAAGAACCUUGAUAAGAAACUCACCGAUGAUGAUAUACAUAUAGAAGAUGUGGCUAUAUCGAAGGCUGUGUACAAAGGUAUGCUGUCGUUACUGAAGGCAUUUGUACAUGGUCUAGAGACAACAUUCCAGAACUAUGGUAUAGGCGGUAUGGCGAGCGCUUUCAUGGUGCUUGAGAUUGCCCACACCCACCACUGGGCGCGGGAACAUACGGGCAGUAACAAAAGUGAUACCUCACUCACACCAGAGCUGAAUUCUCCUUACGGAAGUCAAGAGAGCCUGUCCAUCAAGGGAGAUGUGUCGCCGAGAAAUCCCGAUUCCCAGAGUUUGAACGAAGAAUCCAUGGUUGCUGCCCUUGGGCAACACCAGAGGCCGUCCCCUCUUUCUUCCCUACCUUAUGGCAGCUGGAACCCUGAGCACCCGCAAGGACACCUGCACAGACACAACAGCUCCCCAGGAUCUCCGGUGAUUGUGAAUGGAGACGAGUUUGAGAACAUUGAGAUGGUACACAACAAUAUGUCGGAAGAUCACCCGUACAAACUGUCUGGCCAACAUGGGCCUGAUAUGAACAGAAAUAUUACCAACACAAACCAGAAAUGUGACAUUAUUAUCACCGGAUCAACCGAUGAUCGUCAUCGGAAUAUCCAUCAGCAUUCUUUGUCGUCGCCAUCUUCAGACAGGGACGUAAUGUUAGAAAUGGUAAAAAACAAAGGACUUAUCAAAACUGCAAAAAUAGAUCAAAGAGUGAGCAGUAUAGACUCAGACAUGUCGGAGGCAAGUACCCUGGGUAAGGGAAGUGUAAAAAAGGGUCGCUCAUCAAGUUUAUACAGUAAUAAGAGCAGUCUGAGUACAGGCUCGAGGUACCGAGAGGGUCAGAUGAUCUCAACAUCCCCUAUACCAGGCACCCCAGAAAUCACUAAAACAUACCUGUUUGAAGGUCUCAUAGGUAAAGAGAGGAGUAGACUUUGGGAUCAGAUGCAAUUUUGGGAGGAUGUUUACCUAGAUGCUGUAGCCCAGGAAAGAGAUAUUAUUGGCAUGGACCAGGGACCAGCUGAAAUGAUGGACAGGUACAAUUCGUUAGGUCCUGGUGAUCGUAAGAGACUGGAACAUGAUGAGGACAAACUUCUAUCUGUGAUGCUGUACAAUCUUGUUGGUUUUAUGAUCAUGACGAAGGUCCACAAGCCAGAGAUCAAGAAGAAGGUCCGCCGACUCCUCGGAAAGUCUCACAUGGGCUUAAACUAUAGUCAAGAAAUUAACAACCUUCUAGAUAAAAUUGAAACCUUGCAUGGAAAUGAUAUUGACCUACGACCAAUGGGGAGUCGAUUUAUGCAGAAACAGUCAUUUACAGUUCAUUGGGGCAGUGAUAAUAAGGGAGAUAUGCUUUUUAUGGAGGUUUGUGAUGACUGUAUUAUAUUACGAAGUGUGACUGGUGCAAUAUGCGAUAGAUGGUGGUAUGAGAAACUUGUCAAUAUGACUUACUGUCCGAAAACAAAGGUUCUGUGUUUAUGGAGAAAACUUGGUGACAAGGUGCAACUUAACCAAUUCUAUACAAAGAAGUGUCGUGAGCUGUAUUUCUGUGUGAAAGAGGCUAUGGAGAAGGCAGCUACUAGAAACAAUAGUAAAAUACCAGGCCCUGAACUUGGGGGCGAGUUUCCAGUGCAAGAUGUAAAGUCAGGGCAGGGUGGGUUACUACAAGUUUGUAUGGAAGGCAUAGGUUUGCUACUAGCCAAUAGUAAGAUUCCAAAAGUAAGCAAGUAAUACAGCACCGUUUUCAAUCCAGUAUGGCAAAUUCGAUAGGAAUGACUAUCCAUCGUGUUAUAACUGUUCAAGUUGCCAAAAUAGAACAACAAAUCCGGGAGAGGCAAGAAGGCUUCAAAGUGUAGCAAAGCUGACCAGAUCUGUUACGCAGUAUUGUGUG
rnacentral:misc_RNA from 1 species